UACGGAGGGUGCAAGCGUUAUCCGGAUUCACUGGGCUUAAAGGGAGCGUAGGUGGCUUUGUAAGUCAGUGGUGAAAUGUCGCGGCUCAACCGCGAAACUGCCAUUGAUACUGCUUAGCUUGAAUCACGUCGAGGUGGAUGGAAUAUUACAUGUAGCGGUGAAAUGCUUAGAUAUGUAAUAGAACACCGAUUGCGAAGGCAGUUCACUAGGCGUGUAUUGACACUGAGGCUCGAAAGCGUGGGGAGCAAACAGG
rnacentral:rRNA from 1 species